AUGGCAUUCUAUAAGGUUAACCAUUUAACCUGUUUACCAUAGAUAUCUGAUUUUUCAUAGCCAUGCGAAGUUACCUCAAUGCUAGAAAUGCUUUGCUCUUAACUAAAGCCAUACAAAUAGUCAAUAUCAACUAUCUGAGAUCAACAAAUAUUGAUAUUAAAUAGUCAAAAUUCUUAUCCAAAAUUUGGUACCUCAUUAAUAGGUCAAGACGGGUCACUUGUUUAUGAUGCGAACCUAUUUAGCCGAAACAAAAGCAUAUUUAUUGCAAAUUGGAUAUGGGUCAGGUCAAUAUUUGCCAGCCUUAUAUGCAUGUGUGUGUGUAAUAGGAUAGGAGAAUAUCCUUAGGAUUCGAAGGAAUCACGUGCAUAGGAAUUCAAAAGAGAAUCAAUUUGAUCUAGGUUAUAAUCCAUAUUAGAUUCCUAAAUUUAUUAAUAUGUGUGUGUGUGUAGAGAGAGAGAGAGAGAGAUACCAAAGGAGCUUCAUACACACACACACACAUAUGUAUGUAUGUAUGUAUGUAUGUAUGUAUGAGUGAGUGUGUGAAGAGAGAGAGAGAGAGAGAGGAGAGACUAGGAUUCAUUGGUGGUCAGGCCAUGGUUGGAUGAUGGAGGUCCAAGAUCAAUGAUCCAAAUCAUUAGAUGUGAUCUACUGCCUCUAAACUACUAAUGUACCAAAGAUCAUGUCAUUUAGAGAUUUGUAGCAUAUGCAUCCAGUAGUCAAAAAUUGGACGGUUCAAAUAAUAUGAAAUAAUAUAUCUUUUAAUCACUUGACGCAUGGACCAGGGGUCUCCAAAUCAUAUGAUUUUUGGUGCAAGUAGUUUAGAGGUGGUAGAUCUUAGAUUAUCGAUGUUGGACUUAUCAUCCAAUCAUGACUUGAUCGAAUCUAAGUGGAGAUUUAGCAUAGCUAUACUAAAUGGGAGUUGUGAUAAAGUUUUUUGAAAUUUUGUGCUAUGUAUGUCCCUCAGUAAAAUUGAAUGGUCAGGAAAUUCCUGCCAAUCCAUAUUUUGGUAAAGGAUUUAGAAUUCUUGUUUUGACAAAGUAUACUUAAUAAAAUUGAAUGGCCAAAGAAUGUUCAUGAAGGUAGUUCCAAUUGUUGGUUUAAGGCAUAUUGGUUUGUUAUUAUGUUAAAACCUCUAGGUCAUGUUUCUCUUGAAGUUUAAGUUUCCCUUGUUUCGCUUGCUGAUUUCUAUUGACGCUUUGUUGCCUUCUUUAAUGUGUUAUAGACGAAAGGUUUGUAAGUCAAGGGACUUGGAUUGCAACCUUUUUGUGGAUGAAUUGAAGACUAAGCUCUGUUAGAAACCCAUAUCUAGUUCCACUACUUCAGAUUUAUUCUAAAUUAAAGGAAGGGCUGUUGAUGGUUAAAUUUUAGGUUCUGUAUAUUUGAAAGGAUCUUAGGGAGACACAAGAAAAUUAUGUACAACAGAAGUCAUGUUGGUUAUAUUAUGUCAAUUAGAUUAUUGGGGAAUACGUAGUAGGGUGCAUGCAGAAAGGUUGAGUACAGCACUGAUAAGGAGGAUGUGUGGCACUCUAGGAAGGAUGAAGUUAUGACUGAAGUUAUCUUUAUGUUUCACUGAUAGAAAAAGUAGUCGUUGGUAAACAAUUAGAUGUUUUGUCAUAUGCAGUGGAGAUGGGAAAAAAAGUCUUAUCUAAAAGGGAAUGCAAAUUUGUGUAGAUGGGAUAAAGUAGGGAAGAAUAAGAUUAAGGAUAUUUGGAUAUAUGUGGUAGGAAGGAAAUUCUUUCCUUAGCGCUGCACUUAGUGUUGGAUUGAAGAAAAGGGCAGAGCCCCUGAGAAUAAUCAUAGCAGUAGUCAGCUGGGGAUUUGGCAUGUCAUUGAGGCAACAGAUGCUCGAGAACUAGAGAUGGGAGUAGCGCUAGUUGCCAAUUCAGGGUGAUGAAGUAGGGUAUUAGCAAGUGGUUGCAGUUCUCUUGAUCAUGUUAUAUGGCAGCCCUAGGGCUUCUGGCUGUAGCAGAUGGUAGAAGUUGACAUUUUACGGGGUUCCUAAUUGUAGAAGUUUUAAAAGUGAUGAAACUUGGUUCUAGCUAGCGAUUAUCCAUAACCAUAUCUUUUCAGGCUGUACCAUAUGUUAGAACUUUAACAUGCUGUAGAAAUUUGUUCAUUUCUUUUUGUUGUCUUGUAGGGCUCUCUUAUUUUUUCUUUUUUCUUUUUUUUUUCAAGGAAUUUCAUUGUGGGCCUCAUUUUGUUAUAACAUGUGUUGCAAUUUUAUUGUGUUUCUACUUCUGAAGUCACGUCUGCUUGAAUUUGUAUGUUACAGUGAGAGGAGAAAAGUAAAAUAUUUUUUUUAAAAAAUGUUUAUUACUCUUUCUAGUGCUCAUAUUAUGGUGAUUAUUUUUUACAAUAUUAUCACUGCUGCUGUUUGUUAAUUUACAUAUUUUUGAAUGACUUGAUGCUAAUUUACCCAAAAAGAGAGACAAAUGGCUUGUUACAUCUGCUGACUGAUGGUGGGACAUUUUUGUGAUGACUUUCCAGAUGUAAAUGAUGAGUUAUUCGAUCACGAGUAUGUGGAUGUGGAUGAUGUGGAUGAGCUCGAAGAGCUUGUACAAGUGGAUGAUGAAAACACUUAAUAUUCUCUGCAGUUCCACAUGACUAACUUCCUGACAUGCAUUAGCGGCUGCUUCAUGUAACAUGGACUUUCUUGGGUCUGAUCAGUAUGCUUAAACUGGACUCAAACAGAUGUUUGUUCUCUCUACAGUCCAAAACACAUCAUUUAAAUCUAAUGUCUGCGCAACUUGCAUGACUGCUUCAUAUGCGAACAAGCAGCUGAUGGGAGCAAUAAAGGACAUGAGUUGCCGUUUGGGAUAGUCAUGUCCAGUGAGCGAUUUCUCCAUGCAGAAUGUUCAUGCCUAUCAUUUAGAAUUUUUGUAUCUGAUGCCACGGUUGUGAGCUGCAGGAGUAUAUUUGCUGGCCAGAUUGCAUCCAAUAAUAUGUAAUGAAAUGCUCCAAGUUGUGUUUUCAAGGGCAGAUAGACAGUAAUAAGAGGAGAAUGAAAUAUGAAGCUCUCGCUAUCACUUCUGU